UACGUAGGGUGCGAGCGUUAAUCGGAAUUACUGGGCGUAAAGCGUGCGCAGGCGGUUCUGCAAGACAGAUGUGAAAUCCCCGGGCUCAACCUGGGAACUGCAUUUGUGACUGCAGGGCUGGAGUGCGGCAGAGGGGGAUGGAAUUCCGCGUGUAGCAGUGAAAUGCGUAGAUAUGCGGAGGAACACCGAUGGCGAAGGCAAUCCCCUGGGCCUGCACUGACGCUCAUGCACGAAAGCGUGGGGAGCAAACAGG
rnacentral:rRNA from 1 species